rnacentral:RNase_P_RNA from 1 species
GAAUCAGGCUGGGCGGUCGCUGGUCGGCAUGUGCGCAUGCCGGCUGGAGGAAGGUCCGGACUCCACAGGACAGGGUGCUGGCUAACGGCCAGGCGCCAGGGCGCCGCAAGGCGUCUUGGCGACGGAAAGUGGAACAGAAAGCACACCGCCCAAGCGCCGCCGGGCAACCCGUGGCGACGGUAAGGUUGAAAUGGCGAGGUAAGAGCUCACCGCGGCCCUGGCGACAGGGCUGGCUUGCUAAACCCCACCCGGAGCAACAUCAAAUAGGCACACGCAGGGCCCCAGGGCCCGACGGGCGGUCCGCUCGAGUGUGCGGGUAGAUGGCUAGAGCGCGCGGGUAACCGCGCGCCCAGAGGAAUGAUCGCCAGCCGGCUUGCCGGCGCACAGAAUCCGGCCUAUAGGCCUGGUUCGCAA